rnacentral:rRNA from 1 species
AAAAAAGCGUAACAAGGUUUCCGUAGGUGAACCUGCGGAAGGAUCAUUACCUAGAGUUUGCAGACUUCGGUCUGCUACCUCUUACCCAUGUCUUUUGAGUACCUUCGUUUCCUCGGCGGGUCCGCCCGCCGGUUGGACAACAUUCAAACCCUUUGCAGUUGCAAUCAGCGUCUGAAAAAACUUAAUAGUUACAACUUUCAACAACGGAUCUCUUGGUUCUGGCAUCGAUGAAGAACGCAGCGAAAUGCGAUAAGUAGUGUGAAUUGCAGAAUUCAGUGAAUCAUCGAAUCUUUGAACGCACAUUGCGCCCCUUGGUAUUCCAUGGGGCAUGCCUGUUCGAGCGUCAUUUGUACCUUCAAGCUCUGCUUGGUGUUGGGUGUUUUGUCUCGCCUCCGCGCGCAGACUCGCCUUAAAACAAUUGGCAGCCGGCGUAUUGAUUUCGGAGCGCAGUACAUCUCGCGCUUUGCACUCAUAACGACGACGUCCAAAAGUACAUUUUUACACUCUUGACCUCGGAUCAGGUAGGGAUACCCGCUGAACUUAAGCAUAUCAAUAGG